rnacentral:rRNA from 1 species
CGACCGGCGCACGGGUGAGUAACACGUAUCCAACCUGCCGUCUACUCUUGGACAGCCUUCUGAAAGGAAGAUUAAUACAAGAUGGCAUCAUGAGUCCGCAUGUUCACAUGAUUAAAGGUAUUCCGGUAGACGAUGGGGAUGCGUUCCAUUAGAUAGUAGGCGGGGUAACGGCCCACCUAGUCUUCGAUGGGUAGGGGUUCUGAGAGGAAGGUCCCCCACAUUGGAACUGAGACACGGUCCAAACUCCUACGGAAGGCAGCAG